UAGGAGUGCUGGUGCAUGCCAUCUGGUUGGC
rnacentral:piRNA from 1 species